rnacentral:rRNA from 1 species
UUCGGCUACCACUUACAGAUGGACCCGCGGCGCAUUAGCUAGUUGGUGAGGUAACGGCUCACCAAGGCGACGAUGCGUAGCCGACCUGAGAGGGUGAUCGGCCACACUGGGACUGAGACACGGCCCAGACUCCUACGGGAGGCAGCAGUAGGGAAUCUUCCGCAAUGGACGAAAGUCUGACGGAGCAACGCCGCGUGAGUGAUGAAGGUUUUCGGAUCGUAAAGCUCUGUUGUUAGGGAAGAACAAGUGCCGUUCAAAUAGGGCGGCACCUUGACGGUACCUAACCAGAAAGCCACGGCUAACUACGUGCCAGCAGCCGCGGUAAUACGUAGGUGGCAAGCGUUGUCCGGAAUUAUUGGGCGUAAAGGGCUCGCAGGCGGUUUCUUAAGUCUGAUGUGAAAGCCCCCGGCUCAACCGGGGAGGGUCAUUGGAAACUGGGGAACUUGAGUGCAGAAGAGGAGAGUGGAAUUCCACGUGUAGCGGUGAAAUGCGUAGAGAUGUGGAGGAACACCAGUGGCGAAGGCGACUCUCUGGUCUGUAACUGACGCUGAGGAGCGAAAGCGUGGGGAGCGAACAGGAUUAGAUACCCUGGUAGUCCACGCCGUAAACGAUGAGUGCUAAGUGUUAGGGGGUUUCCGCCCCUUAGUGCUGCAGCUAACGCAUUAAGCACUCCGCCUGGGGAGUACGGUCGCAAGACUGAAACUCAAAGGAAUUGACGGGGGCCCGCACAAGCGGUGGAGCAUGUGGUUUAAUUCGAAGCAACGCGAAGAACCUUACCAGGUCUUGACAUCCUCUGACAAUCCUAGAGAUAGGACGUCCCCUUCGGGGGCAGAGUGACAGGUGGUGCAUGGUUGUCGUCAGCUCGUGUCGUGAGAUGUUGGGUUAAGUCCCGCAACGAGCGCAACCCUUGAUCUUAGUUGCCAGCAUUCAGUUGGGCACUCUAAGGUGACUGCCGGUGACAAACCGGAGGAAGGUGGGGAUG